UACGGGGGGGGCAAGCGUUGUUCGGAAUUACUGGGCGUAAAGGGCUCGUAGGCGGGAUGGCAAGUCGGUCGUGAAAUCCCUCGGCUCAACCGAGGAACGUCGAUCGAUACUGCUGUUCUUGAGGAUUGCAGAGGAGACUGGAAUUCCCGGUGUAGCGGUGAAAUGUGUAGAGAUCGGGAGGAACACCGGUGGCGAAGGCGGGUCUCUGGGCAAUUCCUGACGCUGAGGCGCGAAAGCGUGGGGAGCAAACGGG
rnacentral:rRNA from 1 species